AAGGCCUCAGCUGUAGGUGUUUAAACCAACAGUCAUUGGUUUAAACCUUUCCAAAAGGUUGAUUCUGUUUUCAGUGAGAGAAACGUUUAGUCACUCAUCCAAGGGACUUCAGUCUCAGCUGACUGCAGGUUUUCCCCAACCUUAUAAACAGUACACUUGCACAAUAACUGAAACCAGCCCAGUGAAUGAACAGUGAGGUCAGUUCCUUGAUUAUUAGUAUGCAAAGCAAGACAUGUUUGAACAUUAAAUGUCCUCGUGUUCGGAGCAGCCUAAUGGAUGCGCUAAAGGGUUAAGAACAUACAGGUAAGCGUUUUUUGGGGUAUGAAAUGUAGCAUAUGUGUAUAUUAUGCACCAUGGACUUUUAGCUAGUCUUAGCAUUUGAUAGCGCUGCUAUCAAGAUGGCGUCAGGUAGCUAACCUAGGGCAAGGCCCGCGAUACCGGGCGGGGGCAACUGCGCAUGGUUUUACCGGCUGUAAUGCCAGGUCUGCUGUGUAAAUAUAGACAGGCAUGUGUGGUGCACUCAGACUUCUCAAUCUCAGCUAAAAGCUCAUAAAAAGAUUUCUACAACCACCAAACACAAGUCAGAGUUUUAAUUGGACAACGCGAGGUCAGCAGCGGAUAGUGAGGACAGCAGAGAGGAUCAUUGGAGGCCCUCUCCCGCCCAUCUCCCAACUCUACGACAAACACAUCAUCCGACGUGUGAAGGACACUUUCCACCCCUCACAUGCACUCUGGAUGGCGAUUGAUGGGGAACAGAGACUCUUCCCAUGAACGGAAACAACACGAACAAUGUCGUGAGGUGCCAUGACGAGAAGGAGUGACUGAGAGGAUCAUCGAUAAGAUGGAAGCUGAGGCCUGGAGAGAGUCUUCAGGAGGAUCGGAGAUCACCUUUAGCACAGAGAGCUGUGCUACUGGGCUUCCAGGAGAUCGUUAUGAGGAGACUCUGCACAGCAGAAUCUUGAAUAGGAUAAAAGAGUUUCGGACGUUGACGUUGAGGAAGACUACUAAGGUGUACGACGUGCUCUGCCUUUAAAAUCUUCAGCAGCGUUGGAACAUGAGAAUCUGAGGAGCGUGCCAAGCUCCAAAAAGUGACAGCGCAGAGGAGGUCCAGCGAUGGACUUGUGGUUCUGUGAACAGCACAAAUGCCAGGUGACUGUGAAAUAACUAACAGCACUUUUUCCACAAGUGAAGCCAGUAACUUACUAUCCUAAAAGAUUAGCUGUAGUUCCUUGUGCUUUACCUCCAUGUGUGUGAUCAGUAUGUGCAGCGGCUUAAGCUGUACAAUGUUUCAGGAUAUAGUUUUUCACCUUUUUGACACUGUUAGUUCCACACGAGGUAGAUGUCUACUACUGCAGGCUAAAAUUACAUUUCUGUCACCUACAAGACGCUUGUCUUUAAUGUUACUGUUACUCUCACAACCACAUAUUACCAUAAAGUGAUGCACAAUUCUGAAUCCGUCAAACCUUUUGCCAACGAAAGAAGAGGGCACUUCUCAUGAGCGUAGAGAAGGAGUGUAAGCCGAGGGAUGACUUAAUAGAUGUGCCACUUGGUGAGGGAAAGGUUUGGUUUGUUGAUGGUUUGAGUUUUUACAACAGCAGAGGGACAGACUAAAACAGGUUUUACUGUAGUAGAUGGUGAGAAAGUUAUCUGUACAGGACAACUAGCAUGUUUCAUAUUUGCUUGAGCAGCAGGGAUAGUAGCUUUAACGGAAGCGUGUUAAGCUGCAGAGAAACAAGAUGUGACAAUAUACACUGAUAGCCAGUAUACAUUUGCUACAGUAUAUUUACAUAGAAAUAUACUGUAGCAGUGGGUGAGACGAGGUGUGACAACCGUAAAAAUUACGCUAAACAAAAUUAUAAAGCAAAAACUGAAAUUUUGCUUUAUAAAAACUGAAAAAACUGAAAUUACCCAUUAUCUUACACUUAUCCUUAUCCAAAAUAAUUCAAAUUAUUAACAAAUAUACACUCUGUGCAAUCUGAGUAAAGUAAGAGACGAUUAGACCUUUAUCUUAUACAGUUACUAUAUACAGAGUAUUGUACAGUUAUUAAAUUAAAUAAAAAUAACUACAAAUAAGAGGCAAACCAAUGUUUGCCUCUGGGCAGUGUUAUUAUCCAGUAGAAUUGCCGUUUGUAAAUGUGUAGCACACAUGUGAGGGA
ensembl:lncRNA